UUUGCUUGCUUUGGGGUUUGCUGUUGUGUUUUUGCUUUGCCAAGGCACUGGCUGAUGGCAUCAGAGAGCCGCCACAGACGGCCCCACGCCCAGACCUUUGUGAGUGGCUUGCACUUCGAGAACAUCUCCCGUCAGCCCCUGAGGCUGGAGCCCGAUGGCAGUGUCAGGCGCUGCGCCCGGCCGAGCGCCUGGCUUGCUGCUUCUUGAGAAAAGCCAUCGGCCAGCCCAGGUGGCGGCUGUGAAGCGGGCUCGGUGGCUCUUUCCGAGAAGGCCUCGGCCUUACCGAAUUUUGAGUUGGUCUCCAAAUCCCCCGGAUCGUGCCUUUAUCCAGAAAACAAACUUUCUAUGUGGGAGACAAGAAGAGCAUUCAACACUCUCCCUCCAGGACGGAGGGGACUGCAACAGCAGUGAUUUGAUUCCAUGAAAAAUAUUACAUAAAAUGUGGAGUAGGGCCAAAUCGUGACAGUACGAAGAAGAAGUCAGGAAUUCGAGAUUUCCUGAACCAGAACGCCACAUGCUCUUGCUGCGGCAGACAAGACAGCAUUAUCUGUGGGGUUUUCCUUGGACAUCGCGGGAGUGGACGCGGACUCCGCUGCUGAGGUGCUCACUGAGCUCAUGACCAGAGCUGCCAGCCGUGCCCCGUAAGGCAGGGCUGGCGUGGGUCUGGGAAUGUGCGACCCCUAACAUUUUAUCCAAAACUAACUUCAGGAUGGGUCCAUAAGGAAGGAUGUUGGAGUUAGGAGCACAGUCAAUGUGAGAGAAAGUGGUUUCUGCCACUUAGGAUAGGUCACUCCCUGGUUAUCUGGCCCAGGGGUCAGCGAGGCCCCUGUCCCAAAGUGACCCAUUCACUGGGAAAAGGAGGGAUGUGUCCAGAGUCCCGCUAGCAGUAGUCCCUGGACACAUGCAAGGGUCAGUGGACUGUGGAGGUUGGGGUGGGGCCGCUUCUGGCUGGAUCUGGCGCUUCUUCAUGACCCACCUGCUGGCCCCGGGCAGCUGACCGGCCAGCCUGGAAGCUGCUGACUGCAUCCAACUCCCAGCAGCCUUUUCACACUUCAUUCUUGCCGGCAUCUCUGCAUCUGCUACCUCUACCAGCAGGAAGCCCCCGCCGUGUCUGGUGGGACUGGCCUCCCCCCUCUGUUAUUGCCUUUCAGUCCUUUAGCAGGGUAGAAAUGGGCAUUUCACCUCCACCCUGUGUCAGCAGACGCCCAGAAGUAGAAGCUAGCCGGGGAUUUGCUGGUCUGUUUGGGCGAUGAAGGGGCAUCGAUUAGUCUUUGUGUCUAAUGAAAGGAAAUCAUUCCUGCAGCCUCGGAGACUCUGGCUGCUGAUUGCCUGGGGGUUAUUUGUUUAUUUAAGUGAACAAAGUAAUGGACAGUGGAGAUGUCUGGAAAUUGCCUGGGUUUGUUCCCUUUUUGCUCACCUGUCCCCCCUGGGUACCAUUACUCCACACACCUACUGUGAGGGUGACUUUGCCAAUCUGUCUCUGUUAGGUUGGAUCAAUCAGCUCCAGGCUGGGUGAUGGGAGUGGAGAAAGAAGGGGGGUUUCUGGAUCUUCAGUCAGAAGUUGGAGAGCCAGGGAGGAUCCAAGGAUGGGGACCCGCGCCCUAACUUGAGGGUAUGCAAAUGUCAGAGCAGCCAAGGCUCCGGCCGGAAGGGAGCUUGGACGUCAGGGUAGAAAGGGAGGCCAGGUGGACGGGGCUUCAUGUUGUCUUUAUUUCAAGAUAACAGCUUCGUUGUCACCUGCUUUAUAUGUUAAGUUUCAGAAAAAGAUUUUGUUAGACAAAAGUUACUAUAAAUCGAUUUGAAAACCACUGGCCUGACCCAACCUGCUCGCUGUACAGAGCAGGUGACUGAGGCUUUCGGAGAUGAAUGUUGUCAUGCCUUCGGCCUGGGUUUUGGCUUAGGAAGACGAAAAGUGUGGGCAAGUUGUAUUUUCCAAAACUGGCCUUAGUCAUAUUUCAGGUUCCACAUGCUCUUUCCAGAUUUCGCCAUUCUGCAUCAAGAUAGGGGAUCUGUUUCCCCCGUCCUGCAGCCCGGGCAGGCUUGCAAGAUGAUUCCGGCUCCUGGCGCAGCCUGACUGCCCCAUGUCCCACCCGCCUGCCCGCCUCUCCUGUAAGAACUUCCCAGCUGAGCCCAGCCAAACCCCAAGUGUGUGAGACAGAAUAACAAGUUGUUGUCGUUGCUCUUAAGAGCCGUUCCAUGAUAGUUUGUCACACAGUGAGAGAUUACCAGAACAAGACAGGUGCACACGGCAGAGUGGAGUGAUCCGAUGUCUUUACCCCCAGAGGAAAGAUUUAGGGUCUUCCCUGUUCCCCAUUUUCUCCAGUCACAUCGAAGAGAUCUGUCCCCUAGAGACCGGGUCAGUCUGGAGCCUCGCCUUGCCAAAUGAACUCCUUCUGUGCAUUGCUUGUUUCAAAAGGAAAGAUGCUCACUAGGCUUGACAUCGAAGUUGUCUUUAGUGUCAGCCUGUUUCUACAGACUGCAUGAAUGCUGGCCAGAGACGGCUCACUUUCCAGGCUAUAAACUUCUUUUAAAAUUGAUUCAAUGUGUUUGAUAGGCACCUAUUGAUCACUGCUUACCUGCCUGCCCCUGCGCUGCUUCCCCAGGACUGGAAAGGUGGGUAGAGCCCAAACUCUCCCUCCAGGCGGCUUUUCAUCUUCAAGGGGGAGACACGGAGCACGAGGACUAAAUUGAGGAGAGGAUGGAACGAAGUGAAAUAAAUAGAAAGGCAAGCACCGUGCUGUGCAAACGUGGAGUGAAAGACAAGUUUGUUUGGGGGUUUUAGGGAAGACUGGAAUUUGGCUUUCGGGCUUGGUAGGAAUCUGCCUGGGGAAAGGAAGAUUUCUUUCGCCAACCAGACAGAAAGGAAGCCUGCAUGAGACCCAGGUGUGGGAGUCGUGGUGGUAGACGGGGUGGUGGGGUGUAGGUGGGAGAUUGGGAAAAAAGGUUAUGGAGAUGGGUUAAAAGUGGUGAGAUUAGUAGGGGAGAGAAAAGGACUAAAAUACAUGGGAAGGAGCGUGUUCACUAUGUUAAGCAUGUGGUUUGCUAAAGAACAUCAUAGACAACCAACUGCAGGAACAGACUGGGAGAAAAAAUGACCGGGCGGUGCAGGUUGGCUGCCAGGCCUAUGGAGAGACGCUCGACCUCCUCGUCAGCAGCAGGAUGGAAAGCAAAACAAGUAGGUACCAUUUUAUACACGUCAGAUUGACCCCAAAGCCACAAAAGUUGAAUGACACCAAGUGUCAGUGAUCGCGUGGGCACAGUAGAGCACUGCUCAUGACGUGCGGUGGCACAUGAACCGACACAGCCACCUGGAGAGUGAUCUGGUUGCGUGUGUGCGGUUGGGAUAUGUGGACCCUGGGAUCCUGCAGUCUCAGCCCUGGGCCCACCCCGGAGGAAUCUUCUAGGCGUGCAAGGACGCUCCCUGCAGCCUAGCUUCUGAGAUGGGGAGUGGGAGGUGGCCGGGAGGUGGCCUGGUUGUCUACUCCUAAAACAAUCCAAAGGGGGAAAUGCUGUGGAUAUAUAUGAAAUACAAAGCAGCCUUUGGAAGCAGGAUAGGUCCAUCGGAAAGACGCGGAGUUUAGGGGAACAGCAGGGAACACAGGUUUCUACAGCACAGACCAUCUGUGUUAAUACAGAACACAGACUCGGAGAACGCGCUGCAUUCUGCGGGGACAUGUACGUAAAGAAUACGCAGCACUGUGGGACGAGGGAAGCAAAAGGGGAGGUGAGGCAUGGGCCGGGGACUCCAAGUGAAAAGAAAUUCAACAGAAGAGAAUGAUGAAAAUAAAAUGGGCACUUACCCAGGAGUGGGCCGUCCAGCUCCGUACCUGCGGCUCUCUGCGCCUGACCCCGCAGGAGGAAGGGGGGCAGUCAGUGUGUUUUGAAUGUGUGAAGACAGCCUGACACUUGGUGCCCAGGUGACUCCAGAGCCCUUGUUUUAGGGACCUCAGCGUUGCGCUUUGGCCCACCAAGGAAGGGCGGAGCGUUUUGCUGGGUGCUCAUUUGGAGGCUCAAGGGUGCUUUCCACGCAUUUGGCAAAGAUUUCUGUCCAGUCUGGGGAAAACGACUUGGUGCCUCUAGGGCGAACGCAGCCAUUAUCUGAAAAAUUCACUUACAUGAAACCUCCUCCUCUGACAGGGUGGAAAAAUGAAGCGUUCCUGUAAUUGUAUGUAAAUCGGGCUUCUAAAGUGCUUGAAAAGUUUGGUGCCUUGAGUAGGCUAAAUGUCACCCCCUGCAACUUUCUUCACCCUCUUAAUUUGCUUAGUAAAUCCCUUUUUUUUCAGCGUGAGACUUACAGUAAAAGCGGUUUAUCUCUUUGGCAUUGUGUCAACCACCCGGGUGCAGGACCAGCGAAAUGAUAAUGGAUGCGACUGGUGGCGACCCGGCCUUCCCGGGGUGCUGCAGGCUUCUGAGUCAUCCUAGAAAGUUGAAAUGCUUUUUGUCUGCGGAGUUUUAGCACUGGAGAGAUGUUCUAGAAACGGAACCUGUGCAAACUGGCUAUUUGCGCGCAGUGGCCUGCUUUGAAAGCCUGUUCAAGCAGGGAUUUGCUCAGCCAGGAGACUGAUCCCACCGCCCACUGAGGACUAGAAACGAAAGUUCCGGAGGAACACUCUUGCUUUCGCGCUUGCUGUCACUGUUCAGGUGCCUCACUGCGGAUUGAGGCAGCCACUGAUUCUUCUCCCUUUCCCCUCUGAGAGGUGGGGGUUAGUGUCCUGCCCCUUGAAGGUGGGCUGGGCACCGCUGGACUGGGAUAGGAGUGACAUGACGGCAGUUCCAGGCCUAGAUUUAAGCGGCUGGCAGGUUCCACUUUGGCCGUCUCCUGCGUAGCCCCUACUCUUGGGAUCCAACCACCAUGUAAAGAAGUCCGAAUGGCCCUGGGGACAGACCACGUGGAGAGGCAGAGAAGGCCCAGCCUGCCAGCCGUGGCUGCCCGAGAUUGAAACACUGUACCCAGCAAACACUAACUGCCGUCCUCCCGCCCCCAAGCCCUGGCACCAACCAUUCCACUUUCCAUCUCUGAAUCCGACUGCACUAGGGACCUCGUGUAAGUGGAGUGAUCCUCGAGGUUUUCACCUUUACGUUUGUAAAGCUUCGUACCCACUGCGACGGUCAACUGUAUGUGUCGACUGGGCCACAAGGUGUCCAGAUAUCUGGUCAGACAUUGUUCUGAGUGUCUCUGGGAGGCUAUUUUUGAAUGAGAUUGGCAUUGAAGCUGUAGACUGAGUGAAGCAGGCCCCCCGUCGUAUGGGUGGGCCUCGUCUCAUCAGCGAAAGGCCCGACUAGAGCAAAAGGCUGGCCCUCUGCCGGGUGAGCGAAAACUCUCCUGCCUGAGGGCCUGCAGCCUGCGACGUCGGCUCUUCCAGGUUCUGUCGUGCCUUCCGCCUUUAGGGCUGCGGCAUCAGCUUUGCAGGCUGUGGACUUACCAGUCUCCAUAUCAAAUUCAGACACGGAUGUCUGCAGGGACUUCCUUACGGAGAAAGGAAGAAGCCAUUUUCACGGUGGUGCUCAGGGAACAGCGUGGUUGUAAGUCUUUGCAGUGGUUCCGGGUGAAACAUCUGCCUCAAACUUCUCCUUGUCCAGGCCACUUGCCAGACCAACCAGGACCCGACACAGGAGAAGGGUCUCCCAUUGACUGAACCCAGCUGGACGCCAAGUGAUGUGGGAGCCGGGAGGCAGCCUGCGAGGGUCACCCCUCCUGAGAUCCAGAGCAGGGAUGGCGGGACAGCAAACGAGUCUGCUAAGCUGAGAUUGAGCCCAAAACUGGUACCCAAUUCACACUUGGCCAAAACCAAACCAAACCAACAACAACAAACCCUUUUGUAAAAUCAACAUUUCAUAAAAAAUUUGAAAAAGAGUCAGAUUUGGGUGUAAACCUUGGCUGGCUGUAAGACAUUGGGUGAAUUUUUUAAUCUCUCUGAAUCCCAGUUGUAAACAGGAUAAUUACAUUUCUCAAAAAAUGUUAUGAGAUAUUUGGGGAGAAAAGACCGGAUUUGAAGUAUGGCUUUUGACAUUUACUUGAAAUCUGCAUGCAGAAAGAAGUAAGGGCCCCCACGUUUAGCUGGGGCUUUCUCAACUCAGCUUUCAAAAUAUAAAUCUCACCUGCUUUCUUUUACCUAUAAAUACAAACCUUUGUACAUAAUACUUAGCCCAUAAUAUAUGUAUUUAUACACAAAUACGAUUUCAGACAUAAAUACAAAUUUAAAAAUAUGCUAUCCACCUCCCCUACCCCACCCAUUCCUUCCAGAAAAUGCUUUCGAAUCCUUAGGAAAAGAACAAUCUUGUACUCAAGUAAACAAACUUCAAAAGGAUUUGAAAAGAUAUCCAAACAUACGUUUUAAAAAUAAAGAGAGUCACAGUAAAUGAGGUAAAAUAUACAUUUGCAAAAAAAGUCAAACGUCCUUUUAAGAAACAGAAGAGCCACUGGCUCAGUUAAGAAAAACAAAGGGGGCAAGACCAGAAGCUCUGUACAGGGGUCCUGAGGGUUGUUCACAGGAGGCAAAGCCAUCAGGGAGAUUCUCUGUUGGUUAAGUGCCAGUUUUCAUAACGUGUAACACAGAGCUCUUGAUUGUAGAAGGGCUGAUUUUAUAUCAGAAGAUAGGAUAACAGUAAAAUACACGUAGCACAGGGGCUUGGAAUGGGAAAACGUGCUUUAAAAAUGUUAGCCAUCAUCAUCAUCUGUGUGCAUGCACAUACAUGUGAGUGUCUGCACACGCACACUUGCAGUUUCAAGGACUGUAAAUGGGUGAUUUUUCUUCUCACGGGUCCUUUCUUUCCUAGACCUGUCCACAGUGAUAGGAGAAUCAGGACAGUGAGGGGAGAAGGGAGGGAGUGUGUGGAUAAAAACCUUGGCACCCCAGUAUCAUGCCAUAUUACUGUUUUAUGUGGCAGACAGUUGGAGGUGUAGACAAGCAAAUUUGUUUUUUUUUAAACUUUACUAGUUAAAAUACUAUUAUCUGCUAAUAAUUCUCAUACAUUAGAGCUAUUCCAGUCUAUGCAGCCACAGAGCCACCCACUUAUGUGCUGGGCACUUCCUGGAGUGGGUGCCCAGUGGCGAGUUGGCCACAUCGCACAAGGAAAGUCAAGGUCAUCUGAGGUCAUAUGUUGCUCACGGAAAAUCACUCGUGAAUUCAUGGCUGUUGUCUGCCAUGUAGGCUUUAAGCAAUAGGUCGGAGCAUUAAGUGUCUCCUGGAUAUCAGUAUUAUGAAAAGAGCUUCGUAACAGGUCCCUGGUGCCUUUUCCUCACCAUGUUCUCUUUUUCAUGAUGAUGCUCAGCUCAGAGUGGUCUAGACUGGCUUUCCCUGGGAGUCUCCUUCCCCAAAGGUAGCCAGGCAGCCCCAGCUCAUCCGCAAACUCCACUCAGGCCAGCCAAUAUCUAAAUGUGCAGUCAGUGCAAGGUCUAGCUCUUGAUCAUAUGUAAGGAUAAGAAUAUACAGGCUUGGAGCUCACAAGACAUCCCAGACAGAGGAUCUUGGAAACCCAUGAAUUCUUGGCAGGCCCAGCUGUGGAAAUUCAAAACAAGCGGCUACCCUAGAAAAAAGAUCUUUCUUUUUCAUUUUCUUUUUGUUUUUUUAAGUAGCAAAAUCUUUUCAAUGAGAACAUUACUGCUUCAUGCAUGUUAUUCAGAUUGGCUUGAGAACCCAAGGGGCUCAGUGCUCAGGGUAGGAAGGUGACAGGACUGGUUGGAAGAAGAAAGGAGAAGUUGGAAACCCCAAAGAUUUUGCCAAAGAAAGAGAGAGCAAAGCCUGGUUUGGGCCAAAACUAGAUGGGAACGGUGACCUCAGAUGUCAUGGUCAAAAGAAUCUUGCAAUUACAGGAAUUGGAUCAAAGUCCCAGUUUGGUUCAUACUCCUGGGUGGUUUGUGCCGUCUCAGGCAAGUCAUUUAACCUUCUUCUGCCUCAGUUUCCUCAUCUGUCACAGGGGAUUAUCAUCGCACUGGUCCUUCCUAGGGUGAAGAUUUGGUGAGGAUUUUAAUGUGGUUGGUAAACUUGAAAGUGUGGACACAUAAAAGGCCUCAUUGUCCUGUAAUUACUAUUAUUAGCCACUGUUCCUACCCAGGCUGCUUUCAUCGUUGCUGGGGAGAUGAGACAACCUGUGAGACAACUAGAGAAGGCACAAGACGCUAUCUGAGUAGCUGCUGGAUUGUUUGGUGCCUGGAUAGAGGAAUAGGAACUAGAACAUUCAGGGAAAGCCUCAGAAAGGUUGUGGUUCCUAGUGUUCCCUCAAAAGUGGGGACUGGGUGGAAUGGGUAUUUUGAAAUGAUGGAAAAUUGCUGUUACCAAACGACUUCCUCAAAGGGUAAGGGUCAAAGGUAUCCUUGGGCCACUUACACAAUGCCUUCCGAGCAUAGCCAUCCCUACCCGGCCUUGCUUGUUCCAGGGGAUUCCGGAAGAAUUUCCCAAAUGGCUGAUUGCCUCUCAUCUACACCAUGCUUUCACUAACUGGACCAAACUUGGUGACAUUAUCUUGCAGUCAUCGAAGACCUGGGUUCAAGUUUGAGUUUUGUCUCUUCCAAGAAAGAACGGUUCUGGGGAGUCACAAAUAAAGAAGUUUACCUGAUGUGAUGAUCCAAUUUGAAGAUAAGACAAUAUUCUUUUCUUCUCUCCUACGGUAUCUUCUGCCUGAUAAUUCCUAAACCAGCCUCAGUUUCAUUCAUUCAUUUUUUCUUUUUGUUCAACAGAUAUUUACUGAGAGCCUCCCCCAUGCCAGGUUCUGAGCGAGGUGCAAUAGAUUUUACGAUAAAUACAAAUGACCACAUCCUUGCAUUCUUGUAAUCGAUACUCUAAAGAGGGACAGAGAUAAAAGCCAAACUGAACAAAUACUCAACAUUUCAGGUGUCUGAGAGUUUUGAAAGAAAUACACCGGUAGUAGCUCAGAUUUGGAGGCUACUUUAGAAAACACAGUUAAAGAGACUUCGGUGAGGCCAAGUCAUCUGAGCUGAGAGCUAAGGGAUAAACAGGAAAAAGUUACUGGAAGAGUGUGUACAAGAGAAGCACAGCAAGUGCAAAGGCACUGAGGCAGCAAAGAGUUUAGAAUGUUUAAGACACUCAGAGUUUCUGGGCUAAAGGAGGAGAAGACUGUGACAGUGCAGAGAUGACAGGGUGGCACGGCCAGCUCCACGUGGGACCCUGGGGGCCUUGUUGGGGGUUUGGAUUCUGGUUCAUACCUAAUGGGAGGGUCGUAGGUAAAGAAGCGAUAUGAAGUUCAGGUGCGUAUUCCCUUGGACUUCCACCAUCCCUUGUCACAGUGUCACUCAUGGGACAUAGUGUCACUCAUGGGACACUUGCUGUAACUGCCUGGUUACUUGUCUGCCCUCCCCACGUCCACCCCCUCAAACGUGAGCUCCUUGAAACAAGGGUCUGUGAAGUUCAUCGCGGAAUCUCUAGCAUCUAGCCUACUGCCUGGCGUGUCCUAGGUGCCUAAAAAACACUCAUUAAAAUGAACCAAAUAUCAAAACUUGACUAAAAAGCUGAAGGGGCAGAUGCCAAACACCAAAGGAACCAGACACACAGGGUUGAACGGGUUCAAGGCAGAAGCUGGGCCGGGCGCAGUGGCUCACGCCUGUAAUCCUAGCACUCUGGGAGGCCCAGGCCUGAGAGUCGCUUGAGCC